UACGUAGGUGGCAAGCGUUGUCCGGAUUUACUGGGCGUAAAGGGCGCGUAGGCGGCCAGCACAAGUCAGUUGUGAAAUCUCCGGGCUUAACUCGGAAAGGUCAACUGAUACUGUGCGGCUAGAGUGCAGAAGGGGCAACUGGAAUUCUCGGUGUAGCGGUGAAAUGCGUAGAUAUCAGGAGGAACACCAGCGGCGAAGGCGGCGCUCUGGGCCGGUACUGACGCUGAGGAGCGAAAGCGUGGGGAGCAAACAGG
rnacentral:rRNA from 1 species